rnacentral:rRNA from 1 species
UACGUAGGGUGCAAGCGUUGUCCGGAAUUAUUGGGCGUAAAGAGCUCGUAGGCGGUCUGUCACGUCGGCUGUGAAAACCCGAGGCUCAACCUCGGGCCUGCAGUCGAUACGGGCAAACUAGAGUACUGCAGGGGAGACUGGAAUUCCUGGUGUAGCGGUGAAGUGCGCAGAUAUCAGGAGGAACACCGGUGGCGAAGGCGGGUCUCUGGGCAGUAACUGACGCUGGAGGAGCGAAAGCCGUGGGGAGCGAACAGG